rnacentral:rRNA from 1 species
AACGGACGCUGGCGGCAGGCUUAACACACGCAAGUCGAACGCCCCGCAAGGGGAGUGGCAGACGGGUGAGUAACGCGUGGGAAUCUACCCAUCCCUACGGAACAACUCCGGGAAACUGGAGCUAAUACCGUAUACGCCCUUAGGGGGAAAGAUUUAUCGGGGAUGGAUGAGCCCGCGUUGGAUUAGCUAGUUGGUGGGGUAAAGGCCUACCAAGGCGACGAUCCAUAGCUGGUCUGAGAGGAUGAUCAGCCACAUUGGGACUGAGACACGGCCCAAACUCCUACGGGAGGCAGCAGUGGGGAAUAUUGGACAAUGGGCGCAAGCCUGAUCCAGCCAUGCCGCGUGAGUGAUGAAGGCCUUAGGGUUGUAAAGCUCUUUCACCGAUGAAGAUAAUGACGGUAGUCGGAGAAGAAGCCCCGGCUAACUUAGUGCCAGCAGCCGCGGUAAGAC